GGCUAUAGCUCUGAAUGUCAACUUGAAGAAAUUCAAGCAAGCGCGGGUAAACGGCGGGAGUAGCUAUGACUCUCUUAAGGUA
rnacentral:ncRNA from 1 species